GGCAGUCGACUAGAGUUUGAUCCUGGCUCAGGAUGAACGCUAGCGGGAGGCUUAACACAUGCAAGUCGAGGGGCAGCACGGGGUAGCAAUACCCUGGUGGCGACCGGCAGACGGGUGAGUAACGCGUAUGUAACCUACCCUGUACAGGGGGAUAACCCGGAGAAAUUCGGACUAAUAUCCCAUGGAAAUAUUGGAAGGCAUCUUUUGAUAUUUAAAGUUCCGGCGGUACGGGAUGGGCAUGCGUAACAUUAGCUAGUUGGUAAGGUAACGGCUUACCAAGGCUUUGAUGUUUAGGGGUCCUGAGAGGGUGGUCCCCCACACUGGUACUGAGACACGGACCAGACUCCUACGGGAGGCAGCAGUGAGGAAUAUUGGUCAAUGGGCGCAAGCCUGAACCAGCCAUCCCGCGUGCAGGAAGACGGCGCUAUGCGUUGUAAACUGCUUUUCCAGGGGGAGAAACUUGCGCACGUGUUGCGCAAUUGACGGUACCCUGGGAAUAAGCAUCGGCUAACUCC
rnacentral:rRNA from 1 species